rnacentral:misc_RNA from 1 species
GCAAACUUGGUCAUUUAGAGGAAGUAAAAGUCGUAACAAGGUUUCCGUAGGUGAACCUGCGGAAGGAUCAUUAGUGAAUUUAAAUUGCCGCAAGGCAAAUUAAACCAAAUCCAAACACCUGUGCACCUUUCUAGAAAUGAUUUGCGAGGAACGACGUCUGUCGUCUAGUAGCGAAUUGUUUUAUUUUACAAACAAUUAUAGUCUUAUGAAUGUAAACCUAUUGUAAUCAAAUACAACUUUCAACAACGGAUCUCUUGGCUCUCGCAUCGAUGAAGAACGCAGC